CAGGUUUCUCGUGAAUUGCUGAUGCUGGGUUACCUUCACCCUUGUCUUAUCCACAAGCUGCAAUAAACCUAUUUUAGAGUGGGGACUUAUCACAUUUUGGACACAGUUAUAUCUUUAUGGCUUUUGUGUUUGUGUAUUUUUAUUCAUUAUCUGUUUACUAUUGGUUACAGUUCUGUAUUUGCGGAUCACCACAUGUAGGUCAUGAAUUAUAUUGUAUAAAUGCAUAUUACUGUUU